rnacentral:rRNA from 1 species
CGGACGGGUGAGUAACGCGUGAGAAUCUGCCUUCAGGUCGGGGACAACCACUGGAAACGGUGGCUAAUACCCGAUGUGCGCAACGUGAAAGAUUUAUCGCCUGAAGAGGAGCUCGCGUCUGAUUAGCUAGUUGGUGGGGUAAAAGCUCACCAAGGCGACGAUCAGUAGCUGGUCUGAGAGGAUGAUCAGCCACACUGGGACUGAGACACGGCCCAGACUCCUACGGGAGGCAGCAGUGGGGAAUUUUCCGCAAUGGGCGAAAGCCUGACGGAGCAAGACCGCGUGAGGGAGGAAGGCUCUUGGGUUGUAAACCUCUUUUCUCAGGGAAGAACACAAUGACGGUACCUGAGGAAUCAGCCUCGGCUAACUCCGUGCCAGCAGCCGCGGUAAUACGGAGGAGGCAAGCGUUAUCCGGAAUUAUUGGGCGUAAAGCGUCCGCAGGUGGCACUUCAAGUCUGUCGUCAAAGACUGGGGCUUAACCCUGGAAAGGCGGUGGAAACUGAAGCGCUAGAGUGUGGUAGGGGUAGAGGGAAUUCCCGGUGUAGCGGUGAAAUGCGUAGAGAUUGGAAAGAACACCGAUGGCGAAGGCACUUUACUGGGCUAUUACUAACACUCAGAGACGAAAGCUAGGGUAGCAAAUGGGAUUAGAUACCCCAGUAGUC